UCCAAAAAAAAGACCCUAGAUCUAAAUUUUCUCUCAAACUCACGCAUCCAUGGCUUCCAACGACGAAAUAUGUGAGCCUAAUCCAAGCGAUGAUGGGUGGGUUAACCCCCGACGCCCCCUUACUCGCUCGCCGUGGUGGUCUGCUGGCAGUGGCGGUGGCGGAGGAAAAUCACUCGUCGUGGUGCAAGGAAAGAGGAAAGCUCAAAGUUUUUCAACCUCCCGCCCCCUGUUGUGCCGUCUGUUGAGUCCGCCGAGAAAGCUCCGGUUGCCGACGCCACCACCCCUGCCGUAAAGAAGUUCAAGAGCGGUCAGCUGAAAUUAAAAGAUCUGAAAGCUGUGUUCCAACAAAUAUCUGACCAUGAUGCUGCUGCCGCCGGCGAAGAUCCUUGCGAACGUGAUAUAUAUGCACCCGUGCAUUUUUAUGGCUUCAAAUAAGGUAGAAGCUGAUACGUUAAACUUCUCCCUAGCUUCUUUCAUCGUGCCUCGCGGUGGCUUGCCGUUUAUGCAUCUCUCAUUGAUGAACUGCACAAUUUGUUGCUGAAGCUUUGUACAUAUACUUGUGGCAGAUCGCUGCAUUCUGGAUCUUUUGUGUUGUGUGAAUGUAAAGUAGGUGUAAGAAUAUUUAUGGCACACUGGAGUAUUUAUGUUAGUCUAUGGCGCCACUUGUAGUGAUUUCACUGAAAAUUUGAAAAAAUUGAACAGGUAGCAUAUGUGGCAGAAGUGGCGCCACUUUUUUUAACUUGAAAAUGUCAUCAGGCGCUAAAUGUGAAUUAAAGUGAAUCAAAAUUUCAAUUUUGUUUU